CGGCCUGACAGAUUGAUGGAGGAUGCAUCUAAUCUGUGCAAGGGGUGUGUGGCUAGAAUGUGCAUGAGAGGUGUGUGUGUGGAUAUAGAAUGUGUGAAUAUUGCAGAAUGUUCUGUGUGUAAUCUGUAUUAAGGCAUAUGUCAAUGUAAAACCCAGCAGAGGAUAGACUGAUUAUUUGGAGGGCCUCAGGGCUGCAGUGAUUUUUGGCACACAUCUGGCACUCAGGUUGUAAGGCUUGGGUGGCCAAACCCUGAUGCUUUGUCGGUAUUAACACUGGUAAUAUACCAGGGGCAAGCAAUCCUUCCUCACUCCAGAUGUUGUGGACUACAUCUACCCUGAUGGUUUGCCAGCUUAAUGACUGUAAGAGCAUUAUGGGGGAUGUAGUCCAAAACAUCUGGAGUUAUGAAGGUUACCUACCCCUGUAACACACUGUGGGUGUUGUUAUUCUACAACAGCUAGAGCUAAUCUAUCUUUAGAUCACCCCUGGAGUAAAGAAUGUGUGGGCAGACAGUGUUAAUGCAUGAAUGAAAAAUGACAACGCAAUAGCAGCAGUGCCAAAAACACCGCUCCCAUCUGAGAAAUUCAAGUAAGCAGUUACUCAACCUGGUUAUGGAGCUUGGAAACCCCUUGCGACACACCAGUGUUCAGUGUUAAACCAGUUUUAAAUGGUUUACCACUUAAUGAGGGUCCGUAGGUGCCCGCAUUAACCUAGACCGUGUACAAUGGGAUGGCACCAGGGAGCUGCAGACACCAUAACUAAAUGAGAUUAGGCAGUUAUGGUGCCUAGAAGUGUCCCUUUAAUAUAUUACACUGCAACUAGCGGCAAAGCUCAGGACUCUUGGGCAACUAGUCUGACAAAAAUCAUGCUGUAAGACACUUUUUGAAGGACCAUGAUGGUCUUGUGAAAAAAGAUGGUUUAUGAUAAAAUGCGUUAUGGCACGAAGCAUGUCUGACUGUUGGCUGUACAAGGCCAUGAGGCCUGCUUGGAAUAGAGAGCCCCAGACAAGGAAUCUCAAAUAAGAACAGGCCAGUCCUUAUCUGCGAAGAUAGGCUCUCAUCCCAUUCUUAAGACUUUAAUAGAUAUUAAAUUACUUUUCACACUGUAGCUAGCCUUUGUAAGAGAUGAUAGGUCAGAAUAAGUGGGCCACAUUAAAACAGCUGAGGAAGAUACAGUUGUCUCCAUAUACAAGCAAACUGAUCUGGAGAUUUAAAUAGAACAUAUGAAACAAAUCUAUGCUAAUAUGAAGGACAAGCUAUCACAACAGAACCAAAGAAUAUGAAUCUACACAUUACCAACAGUUACCCCACUUUCUGUGGUAUUUAUUUUUCCCUAUUUUAUUUCCUUCAACAGACCAGGUCUGUUAGUAUUAAUAGUUAUUUUGGAUUACUCAAAUCUCCAAGGAUUUAUGUUGAAGCAUAUACAGAUCUGCAGGGGAGAUUCUGAAUGGAGAAGGGCUAACAAGCAAAUUAAAACCAGUGUAGUUUAGUAAAAGAGUCAGUCAUAUAAUUAAAGCCAAGAAAAGGGAGAGCAAAAUAUUUUAAUCAGAGGGGUCAACAACAUCCUAAAACAAAUAUAAGGAUGUCAACAGGACUUGCAAAAGCUUAAUUAAACGUGCUAAACUUGGAAAUGAAAAGCUCAGAGUCAUAGCCAAAGAAAGCAAGACCAACCCCCAAAAGUUUUUUAAGUACAAUAAAAGAUGAAAAACUACCACAACAAGAGUACAAAGUCUUAAAUUAGAGGGGCAAGGGUUUAAAAAUUAUUUCAGGAAGCAUUACUUUACAGAGAGGGUAGUGGACGCAUGGAAUAGCCUUCCAGCUGAAGUGGUAGAGAUUGACGCAGUGAGGGAGUUUAAGCAUGCGUGAGAUAAGCAUAAGGCUAUCCUAGACUUAAGAUAAGGCCAGGGACUAAUUAAAAGUAUUUUGAAAAUUGGGCAGACUGGAUGGGCCGAAUGGUUCUUAUCUGCCGCAACAGUCUAUGUUUCUAUGAUAAAAAGGUUAAUAGUGAAAGUGUUGGUCCUUUCAAAUGUGAGAUGGGUGAGUUAAACAAGAUGGAUCAGGACAAGGCAGAAAUUCAAUAUAUAUUUUUUUCUUCAGUAUACAUGGAAGAAGACUCUAAGGCUGCCAAUUUGCAAAUCCCUGUUACAAAAGCUAUACAGCAAACAGGUGAUUGGUUAACAAUUGAUAAAGUGCUUAGGGAGCUUAGUGUAGAAAACUUCAAUUUUACUCACCGUUAAUUCCUUUUUCCUUAAUAUGGUGGCAGUACAAUAGAGAUAUACUCUUCCAAUGGGACAAGCAUCUGAAAUUAAAAUUAACAUAAAAAGUCCCCCCACCCCACAGGUAUAAGACGCUGACCUGCCAUGAACCUUCAGUACGUAUCAAGAAAACAGAGACGCAAUACUGCAAAAAUAUCAAAUUUAUUCAUAAAGGGAGGGAGUGAUGUAUUGCCACCAUAUUAAGGAAAAAGGAAUUUACGGUGAGUCAAACUGAAGUUUUUCCUGACAUAUGGUGGCAAUACAAUAGGGAUAUAUCGAGAUCCCAGAACUAUGGGCGGGAAUUACGCAACCACCGCUUGUAACACCUUAUGCUCAAAAGCAGCGUCAGAGGCAGAGAACAAGUCUAGUCUGUAGUGUUUGACAAAAGGUGUUGAACGAAGACCAUAUAGCAGCUCUGAAGAUAUCUUCUGGUGAAGCUUGUGCUUUUUCUGCCCAGGAAAUAGCCAUGGCUCUUGCAGAAUGGGCUUUCAAGUAAGUAGGCAAAGGUAGAUUUGAGGAAGAAUAAGCCAACUUAAUAGUGUCCACGAGCCAUCUAGCCAGAGUAGACUUAGAGGUAGUAUGACCUUUAAAUUUUCCAAAGAAAUUCACAAAAAGAUGGUCAGUUAUCCUCCAGAUUGGAGGCCGAUGGACAACUAAAGGAAGGCAGGGAAACUGGUUGGUUAAUAGCCCUGGAAGAGAUGACUUUUGGCAGAAAUGAAGGUUUCAGAUGCAGAACAACCUUUUCUGGAAGAACUUUGUAAAUUCAGUAGAAAACGAAAGGGCCUGACUUUCACAUAUUGUUUUAUAUGUUCUGGCCACCAAAAAUUUUAGGGACAAAAGUUUCAAGGAAGCUUACUCCAAAAGAUUCGAAAGGCUGGGUACAAAGAGACUUCAAUACCAAAGACAUGUCCCAAAAGGGAAAAAACUCUUUACUUGGAGGCCUAAUGAGCCUGACCGCCUUAAAAAGCUCCUAACAUGAAGAUUUGAAGCCAAGUUCUUUAUCAAAAAGUAGCUCACGGCAGAAACUUAAACUUUAAGGGUAGACAAACUAAGACCCUAUUGAAGGCAGUCUUGUAGAAAACGCAAGAUUGUAUCAGUAGAAGUUCUUAGGCAAUGAUGAGAGAUGCACCAAUGCAGGAAUUUCAUCCAAAUUUUUAAGUAGAUAGCAGAGGUAGAUUUUCUGGUGGAAUUCAGCAGUGACUUGAAUCUCUUUUUCUUAAUACCCCUGUUCUCCAGGAUUAGCUGUGCAGCAGCCAAGCCAAUUUGAACAUCUGCAAUACCUCUACUGGAAUCCCUUCGUUCUCCAGGAGCUCUGUUGAAAUCGGAAGUUCCCAGUACUUCAAAACCAUUGUCGUUAAAACCGAGAACCAGCUCCUAUUUGCCAGUAUGGGAUUAUGGCCAAUACCAUUGCCUGUUCUGUUUUCACCUUUUGCAAAAUCCUUGGAAUUAGGCUCACCGGGGGAAAUAUGUAUGCCAGACUGAAGUCCCACUUGAUCGACAGCCCAUCAAGAAACAGAGGCAUGUCUGUCUUGAAGAGGAAGGCAAAUGCUGGCACCUUCGCAUUUCGCAUUUGACCUUCUUGCCAUAAGAUCUAUGACAGGUAGACCCAAUAUUUCUACCAGAUAAGAAAAAAGGCUGGAUUUAGAGACCACUCGUUCUGGGACCAUUUCGAUCUGCUUAAGUCUUCUGCGAUAAUGUUGUCCAUCCCUCUUAUGUGAGUAGUAGAUAGGUCUUCUAGAUGACUUUGAGCCCAGGACAUAAUUUGAGUGCAAAGGGAGUGCCACAUUUAUACCCUUGUACCCCCUUGUUUGUUUAGGUACGCCACCGUAGUCUAAUUGUCUGACUGAAUUUUCACCACUGUUCCCACAAUUAGAGCUCUGAACUGAUGAAGAGCAUACAAAACAGUCAUCAACUCCCUGUAAUUUGAGGAUUUUCUUUUCUCUUCUUCUGACCAUGUUCCUUGCCUUAAGUGACACUGCAGGUGUGCUCCCCAUCCUGUAUUCGAAGUGUCUGUGAUGACUAUGAGCCAUUCCUUUGGUCAAAAUGAUAGACCUUUUGAUAUGAAACUGGUCCUUUGCCACCAAUUUAAUUAGGUAUCUAAGUCUUCUUCUUUCUUUGACCAUUUUAGAUUAGACUUUUCUAGGUUUUUCACCCAACCGUGUUCUUCUAAGAUUUUUAGAGUGUAUGCCACAUCCGACUCUAGAGUGUCUCUUGAAUCUGCCUUUAUGAGCCAGUCAUCCAGGUAUGGAAUAACUGUGAUUCCUUGUUUCCUUAGGACAGCUGUGAUAUACAUCAGAACCUUUCUAAAAAUCCUGGGAGCUGAGGCAAGACCGAAUGGAAGAGCUUUGAAUUGAAAGUGAUGAAUCUUGUAACCCUUUCUCAAGAAAAACCACUGGUACUUUCUUGAGGCUAUGUCUAUAGGAAUGUGCAGGUAGGCAUCUUUCAAAUCCAAGGUUGCCAUAAAAUCUCCUUUUUUAAGGAUUUGAGAGACUGAAGUGAUGGUUUCCAUUCUGAAAUGCUGGUAUGGAAUAUUGUUGUUUAACUCUUUAAAAUCCAAUAUGAUGGGGUGAAAGGACAUAUUUGGUUUUGGAACCAGGAAUAACCGAGAAUAGACACCCUGAUAUAGCUGGGCUCUUGGAACUCUUUCUACAACCCUUUCUUUAAAAGAGUAACUGUAGCGGAGAAGAGAGCCUGGUUUUUAAGCUUUGAAUGGUAGGAGGAGACAAGGAAACUUGGUCUUGGUACCUCUAAGAACUUUAUUUUGUAUCCUCUUGCAACCAGGUUCAAAAUCCAUAGAUUUGCAGUGGUCUCUCCAUCUGUGAGCAAAUUGUUGUAUACGUCCGCCCACUUGUAUGGCGUCAGAAUCUUUUUGCUCGGUCGGUUUUGAUUUCUUUAUGUGCAUCAAACAUUGGAUCUUUCCUUUGUUGACAAAAAACCUGGGUAUUUCUUGAUACCCUCUAUGGUUCUUGUACUGGAAGUUUUUCUAUCUGGGUUUCCAGGAAUACUUCCUGUCUUGAGGAAGAGCUUUUUUGGUUUCUGACAUUUGUUGGAUUAAUUCUUCUAAAAGGAGAACCAAACAAUUUCUUCAUUUCCAAAGGAAGUUCACAAAGUGCAGAUUUUGAGGCUGUGUUGGCCGUUAAGGCCUUAAGCCAUAGUGCCCUACGAGCCACAUAUCUCAAGCCCAUGACAUGAGCAGAAAGUUUAAUCACUUCUGUGAAAACAUCUAGCAGGUAUUCAUUGGAUAACCUUAAAUCGUGUAACAGGUGAGAGAGAUCUUUGUCUUGUUGUUCACCCGGGCCAUCUUCCAACCCUUGAAGCCAAUAAUACUGAGCUUUGGCCACUGAAGUUCCUGCCAAUGUCGCUUUAGCCUGAAAACCUGCAGCUUGAUACGCUUGUCUGCUGGAUAUUUCCCUUUUAUCCAUAGGGUCUUUAAGUCCAGAGACUUCUCUAAUAGGAAUAGUAGUCUUCUUAGACAACUUGUAUGUCAACUACUGGUAAGUCUUCCCACUUGUAUUCUCCCUGUAGUUUAAAAAUGCUCUUGAAAUGCCUGGAAAAUAAACACCUUUUUUUAGGCUUUUUCCACUCCCUGUACAUAAGCUCCAGCAUCUGCUGUUGAAUUGGCAGGGAUUUUCUACUUGCUUUUUCCACUCCCUCUUCAGCGAAGGCAACAUUAACUUCCUUAAUACAUUUUCUCAAUUCUUCAUGAGGGAAACCGAGAUCUGUCAUGGAUGAAUCGCUGGAAGUUCCUGAAUAUGAAGACAUAGAACAUUCGCUCGAGGACAGCUCUGAUCGAGAAGAAGAUUUCUUAAGUUUCUGCCUCUGUUUAGCUGUUUCUUUAACUGGUACUGUAACAGUAGACUUAGCUGAAUCUUUGAAUGACUCAAAUGUCUGAGCCAAAUUGUCUGGAAACAAAGAUAGGAAUGACUUCAUGUCCUGUUGUUUGGACUUUUCCAGCGACAAAGAUGGACACUGAUUGCAGAUUUUCCUUUUCGUACCAUCUGGUAGUGGUGUGGAACAUUCGCUACAACUCAGAUGUUUUGAUUUAUAAUUAGCAUUUUUUAGGAGCAGGAGCAGGCACUUUGUCUUUAUCCAUAAUUUCUGGGGAGACAGGACUAGACAUAUCUGCAAUACACACAGACAUUACAAAAUUGUAUCAAAUACAAGUUCAAUAGAAUAGACACAGAGAUCUUAAAGAUUAGAGACUGAAAAAUCUCACCUCUAAAACCGCCGACCCUUGUGGGGGGGGGGGCAGGUGAAACAGAAGAUCCUUCUUGGCUAGCAUCCAUGCUGUCAGUAGAAUCUGCACAGCUUAAAUAGGCUUUAGUAUUUUAAAUUUAGCACCAUUUUGGGGAAUUUCUGACCGCGCAGUAGCGCUGUCGUAACUCCGGUGGAACGCAUCGCCUACCGGGCGUGCAUUCCACUGCUGUGCGCAUGCGUCUCACUCGGGCAGUGAUUGGCUGCCGCUUGAGACCUCUCUACUUGCUUUGCCAGUGACCGCACUCGGCAUAAAGCAAGCUACACAUACCUGCUCCGUAACUCUGCAGGAUGCAGGCAGGUCACUCAGCUCUUCACCCGGAAGCUCUCAGGCUGGAUCCCCCUGGCAGCAACCCAUGUGCCUCUCACCACAAAAAACAUCCAGAUGCCGUCCGUUCCUGAUGGAACAAGAAAGAGAAUUGAGGGUUCAUGGCAGGUCGUUGUCUUAUACCUGUGGUGGGGAGGAAAUUUUUAUGUUAACUUUAAUUUCAGAUGCUUGUCACAUGGGAAGAGUAUAUCCCUAUUUUACUGCCACCAUAUGUCAGGAAAAUAUUCAUACCACUGGUUUUAACGUUUAAGGAUUCUUUUCUUUCCGGAAUUUUACCUGAGGAUUGGAGAAAAACAGAUGUAUAUAUAUAUAUAUAUAUAUAAAAUGUUUUAAAAAUUCAACAAGGAAUCUACAGUCAUGUGAGUUUAACAUCAGUGGUUGUGAAAUUAAUUUUAAGGACUGUUAAGGGAUAAUAUUCUAUAAUUCAUUUUGAAUAAUAAAAUCAUUAGCAGGAAUCAACAUGAAAGAAGGGUCAUGCCAAACGGAAUUAAUUGGAUUCUAUGAAGAAGCUAGUAGAAAUAUAGAUCAGGAUCAUCCAGUAGAUGUGAACUACUUAGAUUUUGCUAAGGCAUUUGAUACCGUUCCAGACAAAAAGGUUACAACUAUUUAAACUGAAAUAAGUUGGUUUAGAUGAAAAAUCAUGUUCUUGGAUAGAACAAUGGAUUAAAAAUAAAGAUAGAGUGCAGUGUGUAAUUGUAAAUGGAAAAUUCUCAAAAAUGGACAAAAAUAAGUUGAGUGCCUCAGGGACUCAGGCAUUUAAAGUCAUUUGUAUGUGUUUGCAGAUAACAAAAAACGACAUAAGGGAGUCGGAGCCAACAUCGGAGCUGAGCAGACAUGCCAACUUGGGCUCUAGGCCUCAUGAGAGGAAAACUGCGAUUUAGGAGUGAAAAAUGGGCUACUGCCAAACUCGUCAGCCCCUCACCCUAUGCAGGAGAAGACUAUGGGCCGAAAAAAAAAAAAAACGAAAGCAGACAAAGGCCCCCUAAGCCGAGAUAUAGGGGAGCGGUUACGACGCUCGCAGGCCUCUAUGUGGGACAAAAUGGCACUAGAGGAUGAAGAACCUUCAUACUCCUCGGACGACGAGUCAUUCAAAGCGGGAGCAGGGGCAAUGAGUGCUCCAAUUGUCAGCCCUAAACCCCAGCAAGCCACCACUGGAGAUCCGGUAAUAGCCACCCAGCUAAAGAGCAUGCUAGCUGAACUACGGAAGAACAUAGCGGCGGACAUGGCCAGCAUUUAAGAUGCUAUAGAUGGCGUCACAUCUAGGAUCACCGUGCUGGAGCUCCCAAGACCAAAUAAUUGACUCCAUGGAGAGUAAACUAGAUGAAAUCAAGCAACAACAAAUAGCCACCAACAACAGGGUCGACACCUUUGAGGAUCAACGGAGGCAUUAUAACCUUAAAAUUUGUAGUAUACCAGACACAGUAGGCCUAACAGACUUACCUCACUUUGUCAGGGGCCGUGCUGCCACCCAAACAGGCAAAGGCAAUAUGGCUAGAGGGCAUAUUCAGACUACCGAAGUCAGCCACAGCACCACCCACCGCUCACAUGGAUCUGAUAAUCCGCUUCCAGUCCAUACAGGAUAAAACUCUCCUAAUGGCGGUUGCCCGAGAGAAGGCUACUUUACACUUUGAAGGAGCCGCGCUGACAAUGUUCCCAGACUUCACUAAAGGCACAGAGUGGCGCAGGGCUCUGCGGCCGCUACUACCUCUGCUCCGAGACAAGGGCAUCCAGUAUCAGUGGGGGACAGCGAGAAUGCUCCUGUUUCAAUAUCAUGGCUACAACACAUCGAGCCCGUGGCUUCUCUGAGAUGGAGACUCUCCUACGCAAAUUGGGACUUUCGGACUCUCCUCAGGUGAUGGCAUCGGGUCUGUCCCGGCUAGAUCCCUCAGCGGUACCGGAGUUUGUUCCCAGAUCAUCUCGAUGACCAACAUCCACAAGGGAGAAGACCUGAACAGCUACACGCCAGCCAGGACUUACCUGUCAAACUAGGAGAUGCCUUACCCGCAGUCCCCUCAAUAGCAGCUAUCCAUGGCGGCACAGUUAUAACAUGUUAUUGCUUUGUGUUUGUUUUUGUUCUUGUUUUUAGUUAUUGGCUUUACUUAUAUAUGAUUUAUUGGCUCUCUAUCUAUGAUGGUAGGAGUAGUCGGCCCUUCAUGCACCACCCUUGACACUUACACAAGCUCCCCCAAGAAAGCUCUAAGCCACUAGCCAACACUCACAAUACUUAUGCUGUCUUAUUAUAGACCCCCUCCUCUCACCUGGCACUCAUUGAUGUACCUUCCACUCAUGCAGGCAAGACUGGGAGAGAGGAAUUUCCCUCCAGAGGAGUAACAUCCUCUAUUAGGUUCAAUCAUCGG
rnacentral:lncRNA from 1 species